AGCUCUGUAAGCGUAUACCAAAGUUGUUGCAGUUAAAACGCUCGUAGUCGGAACUUGGUAGGUGACGCAGGGUGUCUUUGCGGACAGAUCUGUAUCAACUGCCUUUGUGGAGGGGGGCUUAGUGGAGCUUUAUUGCCUCACUAAGUCGCUGCCACCGUUUACUGUGAAAAAAUUGGAGUGUUCAAAGCAGGCGUUUGCCUUGUACACAUUAGCAUGGAAUAAUAGAAUAGGACCUGGUUCUGUUUUGUUGGUUUGUGAGAAUUAGGUAAUGAUUAAGAGGGACGGUUGGGGGCAUUUGUAUUCUGCCGUCAGAGGUGAAAUUCUUAGAUUGGCGGAAGACAAACAGCUGCGAAAGCGUCUGCCAAGGACGUUUUCAUCGA
rnacentral:rRNA from 1 species